UGCCAACCAGGUGUCUGCACUGUGUUCGGCAUCAAUAUGUGACCUUCUGGGAGCAGGGGGCCACCAGGUUGCCUAAGGAUGAAUGAACUGACCCAGAUCAGAAAGGGAGCAGGUCAGGACUCCCGCACUCACCAGUAGUGGGACUAUGCCUGGGCA
ensembl:misc_RNA Metazoa_SRP Metazoan signal recognition particle RNA